CCAAUAGCGUAUAUUAAAGUUGUUGCAGUUAAAAAGCUCGUAGUUGAACCUCGGGGUCUACCCAUUGGUCAGGCUUAAUUGUCUGCACUGGUGAGAUGGAUCUCUACCUUCUGAGGAACUUUCAUGCCAUUUAUUUGGUGUGAUGGGAAAUCAGGACUGUUACUUUGAAAAAAUUAGAGUGUUUAAAGCAGACUAUCGUCUGAAUACAUUAGCAUGGAAUAAUGAAAUAGGACGGACUGAUUCUAUUUCGUUGGUUUCUAGGAUCACCGUAAUGAUUAAUAGGGAUAGUUGGGGGCAUUAGUAUUCAAUUGUCAGAGGUGAACUUCUUGGAUUUAUUGAAGACUAACUACUGCGAAAGCAUUCGCCAAGGAUGUUUUCAUUAAUCAAGAACGAAAGUUAGGGGAUCGAAGACGAUCAGAUACCGUCGUAGUCUUAACCAUAAACUAUGCCGACUAGGGAUCGGACGAAGUUAAUUUUAUAAUGACGCGUUCGGCACCUUACG
rnacentral:rRNA from 1 species